UCCGAUAACAUUACUGGAGAGGCAACACCCGUUCCCAUUCCGAAUACGGCAGUUAAGCUCUUCAAGGUCGAUGGUACUGUACCCUUUGGGUGUGGGAGAGUAGAUAGUUAUCGGUU
rnacentral:rRNA from 1 species